rnacentral:rRNA from 1 species
GAUGAACGCUGACAGAAUGCUUAACACAUGCAAGUCUUUGGCGAAGCUGUGCUUGCACAGCCUAGCCAAGGCGGACGGGUGAGUAACGCGUAAGGAACUUGCCCUGCAGUCAGGGAUAACAGACGGAAACGACUGAUAAGACCUGGUAAAGUCAGGCGGACUCAUGUCCAGCCUGAUGAAAAGAGAUGCUGCAGGAGAGCCUUGCGUCCUAUUAGCUUGUUGGUGGGGUAACGGCCCACCAAGGCGAUGAUAGGUAGCCGGCCUGAGAGGGUGGACGGCCACAAGGGGACUGAGAUACGGCCCUUACUCCUACGGGAGGCAGCAGUGGGGAAUAUUGGACAAUGGGGGCAACCCUGAUCGAGCAAUUCUGUGUGGACGAUGAAGGUUUUCGGAUUGUAAAGUGCUUUCAGCAGGGAAGAAAAAAUGACGGUACCUGCAGAAGAAGCGACGGCUAAAUACGUG